CCCCGCGCCGCCGAGUCCCGCGCCCCCUGCACGGCCGCCGCUGCGUCCCGACCGAGUGCGGAGCCCGGCGCGAUGCGACGCUCCGAAUUGGGCCGCGCCGUGCUCCUGGCGCUGCUGGCCGCGCACUUCCAGGCGAGUCCGGCGCUGGAGGAGAAGAAAGUUUGCCAAGGGACAAGUAACAAGCUCACCCAGUUGGGCACUUUUGAAGACCACUUUCUCAGCCUCCAGAGGAUGUUCAAUAACUGUGAGGUGGUCCUUGGGAAUUUGGAAAUUACCUACAUGCAAAGUAGUUACAACCUUUCUUUCCUAAAGACCAUCCAGGAGGUUGCUGGCUAUGUACUCAUUGCCCUCAACACAGUGGAGACGAUUCCUUUGGAAAAGCUGCAGAUCAUCAGAGGAAAUGUGCUCUAUGAAAACACCCAUGCCUUAGCGGUCUUAUCCAACUACGGUGCAAAUAAAACGGGACUGAGGGAGUUGCCCAUGAGAAACUUACAGGAGAUCCUGCAAGGCGCCGUGCGAUUCAGCAACAACCCUGUCCUCUGCAACAUGGACACCGUCCAGUGGAGGGACAUCGUCAACGCCGACUUUCUAAGCAAUAUGUCGAUUGAAUUUCAGAGCCAGCUGAGCAGAUGCCCAAAGUGUGAUCCAGUCUGUCUUAAUGGAAGCUGCUGGGGUGCAGGGAAGGAGAACUGCCAGAAACUGACCAAAGUCAUCUGUGCCCAGCAGUGUUCCGGGCGCUGCCGCGGCAGGUCCCCCAGCGACUGCUGCCAUAGCCAGUGUGCCGCCGGCUGCACGGGGCCGCGGGAGAGUGACUGCCUGGUCUGCCGCAGGUUCCGGGACGGAGCCACGUGCAAGGACACAUGCCCGCCACUCAUGCUGUACGACCCCACCACCUACGAGAUGAAAGUCAACCCGCUGGGGAAGUACAGCUUCGGCGCCACCUGUGUCAGGAAGUGUCCCCGUAACUACGUGGUGACGGACCACGGCUCGUGCGUCCGCGCCUGCAGCUCUGACAGCCAGGAGGUGGAGGAGGACGGCGUCCGCAAGUGUAAAAAGUGCGACGGACCUUGUGGCAAAGUUUGUAACGGAAUAGGAAUUGGUGAGUUUAAAGAUACACUUUCCAUAAACGCUACAAAUAUUAAACACUUCAGAAAUUGCACCUCGAUCAGUGGAGACCUUCAUAUCCUGCCAGUAGCAUUUAAGGGUGAUUCCUUCACACGUACUCCACCUCUGGACCCAAAGGAACUGGACAUUCUAAAAACUGUAAAGGAAAUAACAGGGUUUUUGCUGAUUCAGGCCUGGCCUGCAAACAGGACUGGCCUCCAUGCUUUUGAGAACCUGGAAAUCAUACGUGGCAGGACGAAGCAACAUGGUCAGUUUUCUCUGGCGGUUGUUGGCCUGGAUAUAACGUCCUUGGGAUUACGCUCCCUCAAGGAGAUAAGUGAUGGAGAUGUGAUCAUUUCAGGAAACCGAAAGUUGUGCUACGCAGAGACAAUAAACUGGAAAAAACUCUUUGGGACCUCAAGUCAGAAAACCAAAAUUACCAACAACAGGAGUGAAAAAGAGUGCAAGGCCAUGGGCCACGUCUGUAACCCGCUGUGUUCGUCAGAGGGCUGCUGGGGCCCGAAACCCGAAGACUGCAUGUCCUGCCGAAACUUCAGCCGUGGCAGGGAGUGUGUGGAGAAGUGCAACAUUCUAAAGGGAGAGCCCAGGGAGUUCGUUGAAAACUCCGAGUGCGUGCAGUGCCAUCCGGAAUGCCUGCCCCAGGCCAUGAACGUGACCUGCACGGGACACGGACCAGGCAGCUGUGUAAAGUGUGCCCACAACAUCGACGGCCCUCACUGCGUCCAGACCUGCCCUGCUGGGGUCACAGGAGGAAACAGCACCCUGCUCUGGAAGUUUGCAGAUGCCAAUCACGUGUGUCACCUGUGCCACCCCAGCUGCACCUACGGCUGUGCUGGGCCCGGUUCUGAAGGCUGUGCAGUGAGUGGGCCCAGGAUUCCGUCCAUCGCCACCGGGAUGGUGGGCGCCCUGCUGCUGGCCCUGGUGCUGGCCCUGGGGGUCGGCCUCUUUCUGCGCAGGCGCCGCAUCGUCCGCAAGCGCACGCUGCGCCGGCUGCUGCAGGAGCGCGAGCUUGUCGAGCCUCUGACGCCCAGCGGAGAAGCUCCCAACCAAGCUCUCUUGAGGAUCUUAAAGGAGACGGAAUUAAAAAAGGUCAAGGUGCUGGGCUCCGGAGCAUUCGGCACGGUGUACAAGGGACUCUGGAUCCCAGAAGGCGAGAAGGUUAAAAUUCCUGUGGCUAUCAAGGAAUUAAGAGAAGCCACAUCUCCAAAAGCCAACAAGGAGAUUCUUGAUGAAGCCUACGUGAUGGCCAGUGUGGACAAUCCGCACGUGUGCCGCCUCCUGGGCAUCUGCCUGACGUCCACGGUGCAGCUCAUCACGCAGCUCAUGCCCUUCGGCUGCCUGCUGGACUACGUCCGCGAGCACAAGGACAACAUCGGCUCCCAGCACCUGCUCAACUGGUGCGUGCAGAUCGCAAAGGGCAUGAACUACCUGGAAGACCGGCGCCUGGUGCACCGAGACCUGGCGGCCAGGAAUGUGCUGGUGAAGACGCCGCAGCACGUCAAGAUCACGGAUUUCGGCCUGGCCAAACUGCUCGGCGCCGAGGAGAAAGAAUACCACGCGGAGGGGGGCAAGGUGCCUAUCAAGUGGAUGGCUUUGGAAUCCAUCCUACACCGAAUUUAUACCCACCAGAGUGACGUCUGGAGCUACGGAGUCACCGUUUGGGAGUUGAUGACCUUUGGGUCCAAGCCUUACGACGGGAUCCCCGCGAGUGAGAUCUCAACCGUCCUGGAGAAGGGAGAACGCCUGCCUCAGCCGCCCAUCUGCACCAUCGACGUCUACAUGAUCAUGGUCAAGUGCUGGAUGAUUGAUGCAGAUAGUCGCCCAAAGUUCCGUGAGUUGAUCAUUGAAUUCUCCAAAAUGGCCCGAGACCCCCAGCGCUACCUUGUCAUCCAGGGGGACGAGAGGAUGCAUUUGCCAAGCCCCACGGACUCCAACUUCUACCGCGCCCUGAUGGACGAAGAGGACAUGCAAGAUGUCGUGGAUGCGGACGAGUACCUCAUCCCCCAGCAGGGCUUCUUCCACAGCCCCGCCAGCUCCCGGACGCCCCUCCUCAGUUCUCUGAGCUCCACCAGCAACACGCCCACUGUGGCUUGCGGUGAUAGAAACGGGCAGAGCUAUCCCCUCCAGGAAGAUAGCUUCUUGCAGCGGUACAGCUCAGACCCCACUGGCACCUUGACCGAGGACAGCAUAGAUGACGCCUUCCUUCCAGCACCCGAAUACGUAAACCAGUCUAUUCCCAAAAGGCCCGCGGGCUCUGUCCAGAACCCCGUCUAUCACAAUCAGCCUCUAAACCCGGCUCCAGGCAGAGACCCUCACUACCAGAAUUCCCACAGCAAUGCCGUGGACAGCCCUGAGUAUCUCAACACCACCCAUCCCGCCUGCACCAACGGUGUGCUCGACGGCCCUGCCCUCUGGGCACAGAAAGGCGGUCACCAAAUUAACCUGGACAACCCUGACUACCAGCAGGCCUUCCUUCCCAAGGAAGCCAAGUCAAAUGGCAUCUUUAAGGGUUCUGCCGCUGAAAAUGCAGAAUACCUAAGGGUAGCACCAGCGGGCAGCGACCUUACCGGGGCCUGACCACGGAGGACGGCCUCAGCCCUAAAAAGUCCAGCCCCUUCAUUCCCCAGGACCAAGCCACGGCAGCUACUCAGUCCCGUCAGCCAUACUCACAUUAACUCUUGGACCCAUGGACUGGUUUGGCCACAUCUGCCGUGAUCAGCCCAUCUUUCAGCCAACAAGUGCCCCCGACUCGGAUGCACUUAGGGGAGCUGCAGGGACAUUCCUUUGUCUUCAGACUGUGAGGCUUCCACAAAAGGCAUCCAGAAAGAAUGUUGUCCAUUUGGGCAGAAGUUCACCUUUCAGUGAGGUAUAUUUGAAAAACACUAAAUAUGUUUAAGGAGUUUUAUUGCCUGGGGACCUCUGGGGUUUUGUCAUUGAUUUUGCUCUCAAUGGGCUUGUCCAAUGAGGGACAGUCUUGCUCGUAGCACCUGUGGCACUGAGUUGACCCAGGCCCACCUGUGACCGAGAAGCAAGGGUCAGCCUUCCAGCUAACACUUGAUUCCAUUGGCUCCGCUUGGAGACUCUUCCACUGCAAGACAGUUGAAUAACGAACCAGUCCUCUGGAUCCUAAGCAGGCCCGAUUGGUACUAUAUCAAAUCACGGCAGGUGCAAGAGGAUAAGCCACUUGGAACUCUUCCUGGGCAAGGAAGAAACAGAGGGGGUAGAAUUCUUCCUCAGACUUACUUUUAUAUGAAUGUCUCCAUGGUACUUAACUCUCCAUUGGUUGACCAGUGUUUUCUAAUUACAAGUAUCAGAUUUGUUUCUUUUCCAUUCCACUGCGGUGAAGUUCAGCAUGCUUUCCCUGUCAGCAGGAGGGGGCGGUAACCAAGAUCGGCUCAUAUUUCAUUCGUCAGCAUUCAGACCAGUUGCCUUUAAUUGAGAUGGAAUGACAGUGCAAAAAGGGACCAAUCCCCCAGAUGCGAGUCUCAGAGGAAAUACAUCAGUUCCUUUGGGGGUCAGGGCACAGGCAUGUAUCGGGAGACUGCAAGAACGAAGCUGCUCUUACAACUUCUAGCUCCCCCCAACAAAAAAAAAAAAAAAUUUGUUCAAGCUACUCAUGGAAGAUAUAGUUUUCUUUUUAUUUCACUUCCAGGCUUUUUUCCUCCAAGGGUACUUUGCCCCGCACUGGCAAGCGGCCCCGAAGCUCCUCCUUCCCUUGGUAAGCUGAAGGGUCCAGGCUCUGGGGCAGCUCUGCGGAAAUGUCUCGCCCUCACCACCACUGGCACGCUUUAGAAUAGAGACAGCAGUUUGUGUCGUGUGGAAUUCAAGCGAGCAGUUUGAGUUUCAACAACUGCAAAACCGAGGAGAAAUUAUGGAGAGUUACCGUAUGCCCUCUGCUCCCCAGGCUUCCCGCUCCUGCCGUCUACACCGUAGGGCCUGAUACGCUUCAGCGAGUGGAGCCGUCUCAAUGCCGUGUCGUGCAGGGCACACCUCCCAAGAUCUCCCCUUCCCAGAUCUCCUCCAAGAGAGAGGCCUCCUUGCGGAAGAGAUGAGUCUGUAGCAAGGUUGUGUUUCCUCGGGACACCAGAAGUUUGUUGUUGCGAUUCUGCUCCGUAAUAAACACUGAAAGUCAGAGACGUUCACAAACCACAACCCUGUGCUCGGGCGUCGGGCCCAGCUGCUCCAACUCUCUCCCCAUCACCCCCCCGUGCCACGGGGAAGACCUGCCUGCCCGCCCUGAGCCAUUUCCUCACUCGCCCGUGGAGGAAACCAGCAGCGCUGAGGGAAGAUGCUGUGUUGAGAUUAAAUCCUUGAGCGGCUCAGGGAACCGGAGGGGGUCGGUCACCUGAACUGGCCGUAAGGGGCAGCGGGUGGUGGGAGGGAGCGCCCAGGCAGGCGGCGCAGUCACCCGGAGCCGUGCCACCCUCCCGAGGCCACCGCCCAGGCUCCCCGUGUCACAACCUCCCUGAUGCUGGCCGCGUAGACGCCCAUCACUUCCGGGGAGGCGCAGCUUUGUCUGGUGCGGUGCAUCCCGGAGAUCAUUUAUCACCUGCGUGCAGCACAGGCUGAGGGGGUCUGUCACUCAGGUGGCAGCAGGACUUAAGGAUAACCAGGUUCCGGAAGCAUAAGCGGAUCCAGGGACCUCUCCGGGUCGCUGUGGGACCCCCAGGCCUCCCUGGCCUCCUGGCCUCCCGAGCCCCCAGCCCCUAGUGUGCUCGGUGCCCUGGGCCUCUUAGAGCUCACAGCCUUCCAUCAGGGCUGAACCCUCACGGAGAGAAGGGGGAGGCAGACAGGGACAGUGCUGGGGCCCCGGCUGCCUGGAGCCUGAAAUGUCACCCCCACGGGAAGGUCGUGGCUUCCAUCCUGCUCAGGGCAAACGCAGCAGCAGCCCGCUCUCCCCCGCCCCCGCCCCCGGAACCCUAGCUGAAGCGCAGUGCACAUGGGGUUUCAGCUUGAAGGGAUUCUGCCUUUGGAAUCACAAAGGCAAAGUCAUCACAGCUCUCUGGAGAGAGAAAAGCUUUCCCAAGAAUAGGAGGGUUUGAAAACGAUGAGACGGUUCUUCCCUGGGUUUUCCGCUUGUUCAGGGCGUGGGCAAGUCCUCCUGAGCCAGUUCUCCAGGUUGUGUCGUAUCCUGGCUCGUCCUCCAGGCCAUCCAGUUCCUUCCUUCACACCCAGGAAAGGACAUUUAAAAACUUGGGUAGAAAAGCCGUAAGAUCACAUCUAAUUUUUGCCCUGGCCUCAAAAACACAGUAAACAAAAUAUAAUAAAGAGCCUGAGGGCAUCCAUUUGUAGUU